UUCAAAUUCAUCAAUGCAGUAAAACGUCGAAAACUAUCAUCAAGUAUUAAAAUUCUAAGGAAUUUGCAUAACCGCAAUUACAUAGUUUGAAACUAAAAGUUUCUGACAAAUUUCACAUUAAUUAGUAAUUAUAGGGUAUAUUUUUUCUUGAGAAAUCCAAGAACAUGAUUAUCCCUGUGAGGUGUUUCACGUGUGGAAAAGUAAUUGGAAAUAAGUGGGAAACAUAUUUAGGCUUACUGCAAGCUGAAUAUACAGAAGGUGAUGCUUUGGAUGCGUUAGGUUUAAAGAGAUAUUGUUGCAGAAGAAUGUUGUUGGGGCAUGUUGAUCUAAUUGAAAAACUUUUGAAUUAUGCUCCUCUGGAAAAGUAGCUACCAAUAUUUUGAGAAUCUUUUUAAUUUUCUUUUCUUUCAUAAAAUAUAAGUAGACCUGUAGAUGUAAUUGUAAAAAAUAAUAAUGAAUUUAUUAAAUAUAUUUUGAGUCUUA